rnacentral:rRNA from 1 species
CAAUAGCGUAUAUUAAAGUUGUUGCAGUUAAAAAGCUCGUAGUUGGAUUUCUGGUGGGAGCGAUCGGUCUGGCGCUUAGCGCGAGUACUUGCAUCGUCUCCGGCCAUCCUUGGGGAGAGUCUGUCUGGCAUUAGGUUGUCGGGCAGAGGAUCCUCAUCGUUUACUGUGAAAAAAUUAGAGUGUUCAAAGCAGGCUUAUGCCGUUGAAUAUAUUAGCAUGGAAUAAUAAGAUAGGACUUUGGUACUAUUUUGUUGGUUUGCGCACCAAAGUAAUGAUUAAUAGGGACAGUUGGGGGUAUUCGUAUUCCAUUGUCAGAGGUGAAAUUCUUGGAUUUACGGAAGACGAACUACUGCGAAAGCAUUUACCAAGGAUGUUUUCAUUAA